GUACCCGCUGAACUUAAGCAUAUCAAUAAGCGGAGGAAAAGAAACCAACAGGGAUUGCCCUAGUAACGGCGAGUGAAGCGGCAACAGCUCAAAUUUGAAAUCUGGCUUCGGCCCGAGUUGUAAUUUGUAGAGGAAACUUUUGGUGAGGCACCUUCUGAGUCCCUUGGAACAGGGCGCCAUAGAGGGUGAGAGCCCCGUAUAGUCGGAUGCCGAUCCAAUGUAAAGUUCCUUCGACGAGUCGAGUAGUUUGGGAAUGCUGCUCAAAAUGGGAGGUAAAUUUCUUCUAAAGCUAAAUAUAGGCCAGAGACCGAUAGCGCACAAGUAGAGUGAUCGAAAGAUGAAAAGCACUUUGAAAAGAGGGUUAAAUAGCACGUGAAAUUGUUGAAAGGGAAGCGUUUGUGACCAGACUUGCGCCGUUCCGAUCAUCCGGUGUUCUCACCGGUGCACUCGGGGCGGCUCAGGCCAGCAUCGGUUUUGGUGGGGGGAUAAAGGUCCAGGGAACGUAGCUCCUCCGGGAGUGUUAUAGCCCUGGGCGUAAUGCCCUCGCUGGGACCGAGGUUCGCGCAUCUGCAAGGAUGCUGGCGUAAUGGUCAUCAACGACCCGUCUUGAAACACGGACCAAGGAGUCAAGGUUUUGCGCGAGUGUUUGGGUGUAAAACCCGCACGCGUAAUGAAAGUGAACGUAGGUGAGAGCUUCGGCGCAUCAUCGACCGAUCCUGAUGUAUUCGGAUGGAUUUGAGUAAGAGCGUUAAGCCUUGGACCCGAAAGAUGGUGAACUAUGCUUGGAUAGGGUGAAGCCAGAGGAAACUCUGGUGGAGGCUCGCAGCGGUUCUGACGUGCAAAUCGAUCGUCAAAUCUGAGCAUGGGGGCGAAAGACUAAUCGAACCAUCUAGUAGCUGGUUACCGCCGAAGUUUCCCUCAGGAUAGCAGUGUUGUUCUUCAGUUUUAUGAGGUAAAGCGAAUGAUUAGGGACUCGGGGGCGCUUUUUAGCCUUCAUCCAUUCUCAAACUUUAAAUAUGUAAGAAGCUCUUGUUACUUAAUUGAACGUGAGCAUUCGAAUGUACCA
rnacentral:rRNA from 1 species